CUUAUUUUUUUUUUUUUUUUUUUUGCAUCCAGUAUCUUUGACUAAAGACUAAAGCUCCACACUGAGGUCUAGUAAGUCCAGGACAGAUGGUCAUCCUAUUUCUUGUGCUGUUUGCCUCAGCCUGUAGUGAGCUUAUUUCCCCAACCUUACUGGACAUAGUGUUAGGUGUAAAAAAAAAUUUACUUCAUCAUCGCUAAAAAUCCACAUGUUUGCUUACCAUUAAUUUCAACAGACCUUAUAGAGAUGCAUAAGGCCCUUCUGUUAUUGUCACUGUGUACAACAAUAUGUGUAUCGCCCCUUACUUAAUAUUUCAAAUAUGUGCAAUAUUUCCAUCAAUUCUGAUAUCAAUAUAAUGAUUGUAAGUGUCUGCAUUUUAGACAAAUAUUGUAUUUCAGGAAUCUCAACAUAUUGGUUAAUCUUGAUAUUUUUUUUCAUAUCUUUUUAAAUUUUUAUAAAAUGAAAUAUUAUAAAUAAUAUCUUGUUUUAAGAUGUAUAAAUUAUUUGAAUGAAUAAUUAUUUUUGUAGCCUAGGAUUCCUUGAGACUUCAUUGCAUAGGUCACAAAUGUUUACAGUGGGCAUUUCAGUGAUGGAACUAAACAUUUAGACAUUAUAUUUAUUUUAGGUACCGUACACAUCUUAAGUUUUACUUAUAAGUUAAAAAUUUAUAUGCAUCUAAUUAUUAAAUAAUUUUAGUUAAUAUGAUGUAUUUAUUCUGAUUAUAUGAUGUUUCAAGUUACAGGUAUUUGUUUAUUUUUUAAAAGAAUUAUCAUACUUUUUUUUCACAUUUUUUAAUAUUACAUUUAAAUAUUACAUUGGGAUUUUUUAGUGCGUUUUUUACAUUAAUUACUUAGACUAGAGAUUUUCUAAGUAUAAUUUACUUACAAGUAGUUUUUUUUUCCUAUUCAAAAUCACACACCUUGACUGACUUUCUUUACCUAUCAGUGUCCUCUCUAAAUAUCUGCAAAUAGGGCUACAAAUAACUUGAUACCAGCAAUCUCUGUCCCAUCAUUGGUCUCUUGUGAAGAUAAUUUCUCUUUUUAGUAUUAAUCACCAUGGCCAUGCAGAGCUUACAUUUUUUUUACUGUGUAAGCCAUACAAUCAAAGCACAACAUGAAUUAUCCAAAGAUCACUUUGUUCAGUUGAGUAUAAUGUAUCUUCAGAAGACAUCCAAAGUUCACUUUGUUUAGUUGAGUAGAAUGUAU